rnacentral:rRNA from 1 species
UACGUAGGCAGCGAGCGUUGUUCGGAGUUACUGGGCGUAAAGAGUGCGUAGGCGGUUUUUUACGUUUGGUGUGAAAUCUCCCGGCUUAACUGGGAGGGUGCGCCGAAAACUGGAAGGCUAGAGUAUGGGAGAGGUAAGCGGAAUUCCUGGUGUAGCGGUGAAAUGCGCAGAUAUCAGGAGGAACACCAAUUGCGAAGGCAGCUCGCUGGAACGUAACUGACGCUGAGACGCGAAAGCGUGGGGAGCAAACAGG